UACGAAGGGGGCUAGCGUUGCUCGGAAUCACUGGGCGUAAAGGGUGCGUAGGCGGGUCUUAAGUCAGGGGUGAAAUCCUGGAGCUCAACUCCAGAACUGCCUUUGAUACUGAAGAUCUUGAGUUCGGGAGAGGUGAGUGGAACUGCGAGUGUAGAGGUGAAAUUCGUAGAUAUUCGCAAGAACACCAGUGGCGAAGGCGGCUCACUGGACCGGUACUGACGCUGAUGCGCGAAAGCGUGGGGAGCAAACAGGG
rnacentral:rRNA from 1 species